GACACUGGCUCAGGAUGAACGCUGGCGGCGCGCCUAACACAUGCAAGUCGAACGAGCGAGAGAGAGCUUGCUUUCUCGAGCGAGUGGCGAACGGGUGAGUAACGCGUGAGGAACCUGCCUCAAAGAGGGGGACAACAGUUGGAAACGACUGCUAAUACCGCAUAAGCCCACAGGUCGGCAUCGACCAGAGGGAAAAGGAGCAAUCCGCUUUGAGAUGGCCUCGCGUCCGAUUAG
rnacentral:rRNA from 1 species